rnacentral:misc_RNA from 1 species
ACACGAACCCGUGUUGCUAAAGCCAUUUCAGCGACAUACCCAUUCUGGGAGCCGGCAUAGAUUGCGUUAUGGAAUGCCUCGUUGGCUUCAUGAAAUAACUGCGGAUUGCCAUCAUAACUCAAGAACCGCAGCCGCUCAUGGAGCACCUCCAGUUCGCUCCGUUGAACAAUUGGCAUCCGUUCGGCGGCAAGGCCCGCACAUAAAGCUUCAAGUUCAGCCAUCGCCUCGAACAUGCUAUUGAGCUGCUCGAUGGUCGGUCUCGCCACCACCGCGCCGCGGUGGGCGCGCGAAUUUACCAGACCACUAGCCACCAACUGCCG